UACGGGAGGCAGCAGUGGGNNAUAUUGCACAAUGGGCGAAAGCCUGAUGCANCGACGCNGNNNGAGGGAUGACNGCUUCGGGUUGUAAACCUCUUUCAGUAGGGAAGAAGNGAAAGUGACGGUACCUGCAGAAGAAGCACCGGCUAACUACGUGCCAGCAGCCGCGGUCAUGNGUAGGGUGCGAGCGUUAUCCGGAAUUAUUGGGCGUAAAGAGCUCGUAGGCGGUUUGUCGCGUCUGUCGUGAAAGUCCGGGGCUUAACCCCGGAUCUGCGGUGGGUACGGGCAGACUAGAGUGCAGUAGGGGAGACUGGAAUUCCUGGUGUAGCGGUGGAAUGCGCAGAUAUCAGGAGGAACACCGAUGGCGAAGGCAGGUCUCUGGGCUGUAACUGACGCUGAGGAGCGAAACGAUNGGGAGCGAACAGGAUUAGAUACCCUGGUAGUCCAUGCCGUAAACGUUGGGCACUAGGUGUGGGGACCAUUCCACGGUUUCCGCGCCGCAGCUAACGCAUUAAGUGCCCCGCCUNGGGAGUACNGCCGCAASSUAAAACUCAAANNAAUUGACNNNNNNNCGCACAAGCGGCGGAGCAUGCGGAUUAAUUCGAUGCAACGCGAAGAACCUUACCAAGGCUUGACAUGUUCUCGAUCGCCGUAGAGAUACGGUUUCCCCUUUUGGGGCGGGUUCACAGGUGGUGCAUGGUUGUCGUCAGCUCGUGUCGUGAGAUGUUGGGUUAAGUCCCGCAACGAGCGCAACCCUCGUUCCAUGUURCCAGCACGUAAUGGUGGGGACUCAUGGGAGACUGCCGGGGUCAACUNNNNNNAAGGUNAGGACNACNUCAAAUCAUCAUGCCCCUUAUGUCUUNNNCUUCACGCAUGCUACAAUGGCCGGUACAAUGGGUUMCMAUGACCUGU
rnacentral:rRNA from 1 species